rnacentral:rRNA from 1 species
CCUACGGGCGGCUGCAGUGGGGAAUAUUGGACAAUGGGGGGAACCCUGAUCCAGCCAUGCCGCGUGUGUGAAGAAGGCCCUCGGGUUGUAAAGCACUUUCAGUGAGGAAGAACGCCUGGUGGUGAAUACCCAUCAGGAAAGACAUCACUCACAGAAGAAGCACCGGCUAACUCCGUGCCAGCAGCCGCGGUAAUACGGAGGGUGCGAGCGUUAAUCGGAAUUACUGGGCGUAAAGCGCGCGUAGGUGGCUUGAUAAGCCGGUUGUGAAAGCCCCGGGCUCAACCUGGGAACGGCAUCCGGAACUGUCAAGCUAGAGUGCAGGAGAGGAAGGUAGAAUUCGCGGUGUAGCGGUGAAAUGCGUAGAGAUCGGGAGGAAUACCAGUGGCGAAGGCGGCCUUCUGGACUGACACUGACACUGAGGUGCGAAAGCGUGGGUAGCAAACAGGAUUAGAUACCCGGGUAGUC